GAUGCCCAGCUUGCUGGGUGGAUUAGUGGCGAACGGGUGAGUAACACGUGAGUAACCUGCCCCUGACUCUGGGAUAAGCGUUGGAAACGACGUCUAAUACUGGAUACGACUGCCGGCCGCAUGGUCUGGUGGUGGAAAGAUUUUUUGGUUGGGGAUGGUCUCGCGGCCUAUCAGCUUGUUGGUGAGGUAAUGGCUCACCAAGGCGACGACGGGUAGCCGGCCUGAGAGGGUGACCGGCCACACUGGGACUGAGACACGGCCCAGACUCCUACGGGAGGCAGCAGUGGGGAAUAUUGCACAAUGGGCGAAAGCCUGAUGCAGCAACGCCGCGUGAGGGAUGACGGCCUUCGGGUUGUAAACCUCUUUUAGUAGGGAAGAAGCGAAAGUGACGGUACCUGCAGAAAAAGCACCGGCUAACUACGUGCCAGCAGCCGCGGUAAUACGUAGGGUGCAAGCGUUGUCCGGAAUUAUUGGGCGUAAAGAGCUCGUAGGCGGUUUGUCGCGUCUGCUGUGAAAUCCCGAGGCUCAACCUCGGGCUUGCAGUGGGUACGGGCAGACUAGAGUGCGGUAGGGGAGAUUGGAAUUCCUGGUGUAGCGGUGGAAUGCGCAGAUAUCAGGAGGAACACCGAUGGCGAAGGCAGAUCUCUGGGCCGUAACUGACGCUGAGGAGCGAAAGCGUGGGGAGCGAACAGGAUUAGAUACCCUGGUAGUCCACGCCGUAAACGUUGGGCGCUAGAUGUAGGG
rnacentral:rRNA from 1 species